rnacentral:lncRNA from 1 species
GCAUCAAAUCAGGGCCUUGUGGGUGCCGGGCAAACACUCUACUGACUACUCUAGACCCCAGACGAGACACUGGAUAUUUCUGGGGAGAAAGUACAUCAUGUGUUGGAUGGAAUUCCACCUUGGCAAGAAUAACAAAGUUCCUCAGGUUGCCUGAAGGAGCCACGAUAUGAAGCCUGCUUUCUCCUCCCAUGGCCACAGUGGGGCGCACCAAGGCUACUCCAAACGGCCCAGUAUUCAAAGGCUAGUGCUUACAGGAGACACAGGUCAACUGCCUGCUAAUAAAGGGGACUUCUAAGGCCUCUCACUGACUCAGUCUUGAGGAUGCGAAUGGCUUGUUAACACUCUGUUCACAAGUAAGGACAAGAUGUUGAGACAAGCUGGGGAAACGGGGUGUUACUUCUGCAAAGCAUAGGUAGGCUUGGCAUGCC